GGAGAGAUGUCCGAGUGGUUUAUGGUGCCGCUCUCGAAAAGCGGUGUGGCGCAAGUCACCGUGGGUUCGACUCCCACUCUCUCCG
rnacentral:tRNA from 1 species